CUGGGGAGACGUUUGCAGUCUUUGGCUCACUGCCUUCUUUCGUCUUACCGUCUCCAUCUUCCCCACUCUUCUGCCACAAAUGGAAGCGAGCCUUCCUGCUAGGAGAAAUAACUGUGAGAAUGCUUUUCGAAAGCAUGAGGGAUGAAAGUUUCCGAGGCCCGAGUCCUCUCAGGAGGGUAAUAAAUAUGGGAAAUAAGUUACCCUUGAAGAGGCCUGUGACUGAGGACACAGGGAGACAGGCUACCCCAAUCCCUUCAGCGGCGGCACAGAUGCCAGCCUGAGAGGGCACAGCUUCCCUACGAUCAAGCUGCGGCCCUUCCAGAGCCAUCAUCUGUCACUACUUCUAUUUCCGGCCUACUUCUCCCUCUCUCUGACCCGUGAGACACUGAGAGGAGAAGGGAUGGGGUGUCACAACGGUGCAGAAAUGGCGCUCAACAUCCACUGGGCUCAGGGCAACAACAACACAAGUUAUGUAAUCCACGAAAGCAUUGAAUGGGGUAAUAAAACUGGAUAAAUCAU